UAAAGUCUUUUCUGAUCUAGAGCGCCAAGUGAGAAGGUAGAAAAGUUUUUAAAAGUAAUUCGUUACCCACCAAGCACCGUUACCCACAUAGCUCAAGUAUAAUCCCAUAUCGGGGAUUUUACCUAUUAUUCGGAAUCAGGACCCGUUAACGUUCGCCUGAGAAGUACUGGUGAGACCGCUCCCCCCGGAAGGCCUUUUAUAAUCGUGGAUCACCCGAAAGUCCAGGGAAAGAAUCCGAGGACAUUGUUGGGACCGCACCGUUGAUUCCGUCCAGACAAUCGACGUCAAAAGGGAACAAUCGGGUAAUUCACCCGUUUUCGCCGCCUGUAGGGCAUUCUGAGCUGCCGUCGAAUCAUCCAUCCGAUCGGUGGCCCGUUCCCCUGAUAAACCAUUCCGGGAUCCCGAAGAGCUCCAGCAUCGGCCGGCCGCAACUACACGCCACACAGACACACACACAACCGUAAGUCAAAAAGAAUAUAUAUCAAAAAGAACAAGAA